UGAGGAACAGUCUUAGUUAUUUUUGGAAGUGGUAAAAAUCUCUUUGUGUUGCUUUGAAAAUGAAUAUGUGUACUAUGAAGAUGGUAUUCUAAAGCAUAAGUGACCUAGAUUCAAUUAAGCUAAUUGGAGGCCUACAGAGGAAUUGGAGGUUGGGGAAUAGACCAAGAGAUGACGGAGUAUAGAACAAGGGAAAGGGAGAGGAACUGGACAUAAUUAGCUAGGCAGAGAUGUGUAGAGGUGGUACCAUAGGAUGGAAAUAGAAAAUUAUCAAAAAGGAGAAAAAGGAGGUAGGUGACAGAAAACUGAGGGGUGGAAGAAGGUCAGAACCUGCGGACAACAGGUAGAAUGAAGACAUGGAGAAUAUGAGAUAGUGAUCUGAACUUACACAGGCUAAGAACAGGCUGAGAGCAGGGCCUACCUUAGAAGCACAGGAGAGGGGAGAGCAAGAGAAAUUGCUUAUAUCAUAGUAUCUGAGCUGCCCCAGCACCCCCAGUGGGGUCACUGAGUGCUUUUCAACAUGGUGAAAUUGCCUGAACUAUAUGAAAUUUUAACAUGUUAGAUUCUCUUAGUAGUACCUGUUUUAUACCACAAUACCCACACACAAAAUAACAAAGUGUGAUUGUGCAUCAAAAUCCUUGUUGCAUCCUGCUUCAUGGAAGCUGGCAGAAACAGAGCCUAGCAGUGUGCCCAGGACAGAAAGGGGUUGCUGUCAUACAAGCGGAAGUCUCAGGCUGAAACACUGCAGAUUUUGUGCCUGAGAUGAGUGCCUUACCCUCUGAUGAGAAGAUAUCAAGAUGAAGGAGACCCAGCAGUUAAAGGACACAUUCCAGGAAGAGAAAAAGCAUUUGUGAAGGCCCUAAGGGCAGGCAUGGAAGGCUAUCCUCACAGCAAAUGGCUCCACGGGGCUGGCACAAAGAGGACAGGAGGAAGAACAGCAGAAGUGUCCAGAAAAGCCAUGUAAGGCCAGACCUUGAAGAACUGUUAUGUACAAGCCUAAAAUAAUUAAAAUUCUAGAGAUGCAUCAACCAUUUUCAUUAGCAAUGUUUUCCUCAAACAUUUUUGUUUGAGGAAAAGUAACUCUUGGAAGAGCCAAGACAGAGGUAUUUAAGAGGCUACUGUAAUCACAGCCUAGAAAGUAUGGUGACAUGAACUAUGGAGAAGACAGUGGGAGUAGAGCAGGAGGGCCUGGAUUGGCAGACAUUUAGAAGAUGGAGGGAAUGCUGAAUAAACAUUGAAAAUAAUUAA